rnacentral:rRNA from 1 species
GACAGAGGGUGCAAACGUUGUUCGGAAUUACUGGGCGUAAAGCGCGUGUAGGCGGCCAUCUAAGUCGGGCGUGAAAUCCCACGGCUCAACCGUGGAAGUGCACUCGAAACUGGAUGGCUAGAGUCCUGGAGAGGAAGGUGGAAUGCUUGGUGUAGAGGUGAAAUUCGUAGAUAUCAAGCGGAACACCGGUGGCGAAGGCGGCCUUCUGGACAGACACCGACGCUGAGGCACGAAAGCUAGGGGAGCAAACAGG